GUGCCAAAUGUGGAAAAAGGACCCAAAAUGGAGCUUCCGGAGACGUCGGGGAUGGCUCCCAUCUGGAACAACCUGAACUUCCCCAUGGAUCAUCAGAGGAGCCUGGAGAUUCCUGGAUUUGGGAAUUUUUCCUUACCCACAUCCUCUCCAGAGCCUUUCCAGCUCCCGGAGCUGGAUCAACCUGUUCCUGAUGUUCAAAAUUCCUGUGGCCUCUUCUGGGACAAACAUGGGAUUCUCCAGCACAGGAUAAGAACAGGAUAAGAUAAUUUAGGAUUUCAGGGCUGGUGCCUCUGGAAAACCGGGAAAACCUCACUUUUGGCAUGAUUAAAUCUGGAAAUUUUGGUCACUGUGUCAGCUGGAUCAGGGAGCAACCUGUUCCUGAGGCUUGGAAUUCCCUGGCAUCUCCUGGGACAAAUCUGGGACUCUCCAGCUUCAGCACUGGCUCCUCCAGGUCCUGGAAGGUCACACUGAGCUCACCCCAAACCUUCUCCUCUCCAGGGGAACAUUCCCAGCUCUCCCAGCCUUUCCUCCCAGCAGAGCUGCUCCAUCCCUGGGAUCACCCUGGAGCCUCCUCUGGGCUCUCUCCAGCAGCUCCAGCUCCUUCCCGGGCUGGAUCCAGGCCUGGGGCAGCUCUGCAGGGUUUUUGGACUUUUCGCUUUCCGGUGUUUCUCCAUGGAGAGCAGCGUGGGCACCUUGAUUUAUUUUUCCACCAGGAUCUGGGAUCCAGAUCUUUGUGGCAUUUCAAGAAUUCCAUCCCUGUGGCACUGAGAUCCUCCAAUUCCUUCAGGCUCAUCCCAUCUUGGCAUCAACCAGAGCAAAUUUUACCCUGGUCACUCCUUGAGCACGGGGACCACAUUCCAGGUGGAGGAAUCCAGGAUCUGGAGCCAAGGGGAAGUGAGCAGGAAUCUCUGGGAUGUCACCCCAAAACAGCAGCUCAGAAGGGUUUGGAGCACAGAAAAUGCUUCAGCUUGCUUCCAGCUGGGCUCCAGAGCUUCGCUUCCAAUGGCAUGGAAAACCAACUGGAAUACCAGAUAUAACACCUGGAUCUUUCUCUUCAUAAAUCCUGGGGAUGAUUCUGCUACAGAAGUUCACCAAGUUAUUGAAAAUAUUAAUUAUCAAUUUCACAUUACAAAUUUCAUCCAUUAAAAUAUCCAUAUUUGGGAGAACCUUUAUUUUUAACCUCUUUUCCUAUUUUUAAAGCAAUCUGCAG
rnacentral:lncRNA from 1 species